UGGCGGACGGGUGAGUAAUGUCUGGGAAACUGCCUGAUGGAGGGGGAUAACUACUGGAAACGGUAACUAAUACCGCAUAACGUCGCAAGACCAAAGAGGGGGACCUUAGGGCCUCUUGCCAUCGGAUGUGCCCAGAUGGGAUUAGCUAGUAGGUAAGGUAACGGCUUACCUAGGCGACGAUCCCUAGCUGGUCUGAGAGGAUGAUCAGCCACACUGGGACUGAGACACGGCCCAG
rnacentral:rRNA from 1 species